AGCUAUCUGGAUAACUGCUCCUUCCUACAACGUAAGGCUUUGUGCUGAAAUUUCACUGACCAAUAUCAGUGAUAAUGGCUAACGCUAUAUCCAUAAAAACAUAGAUUUCUGCACUGGGUUGCACCAACUAUGUGUAAGCUGGCAUGAGCCACUUGGCAUCGUAGCACAUUGUAGUAAACCGGAUCAAUAGUGAAAUAUCAUGUCAAUAAAUUAGGUCUCUACUGGAUUACUGUGUUGCUAAAUGGCAGCAAUUAAAGUUAUGUUGUAACUUAUCUCCGUGGUCAAAGCUUUUAUUUUAGUGAUGCAUAAAUCACAACUUAGUGAUAAUAAUUUACGUUAUAACUAAGUUUGAACUGACACACAGCUGGUGCAACAGGCUGCAGCAGUUGUUUGUCUACUCUGCAGCUACAUGUUUUUGCUUGUAACAGGCUGAUAUCUACUCUAUAACUGUCCAGAUGCACUCAGGAAAUAUCUGCAGAAGCCUCCAGCUGCUGGAGAAGUUACAUCUGAUCUCCCAUCUACACCACUCUCUGAAGCAGAUUUACCUGCAGGUGAAGCAACAACAGACACAACAGACACUUCUACUACUCUACAGCCUGCAGACACCAUCAACUGGAACAGAUCCUGAAGUAUGUGAGUCCAUCAAGGCAGCAGCUAUAGAUCCUGCUGACUGGCAGCCCUGUCUGAUAUGGUGAGGACAGAGAUAGUCAGCAGAGGCCAUAUCAGCUAAAAUAAGACUCUACAUUUACAAAAUGAGAGGAUGGGAGAAGUUCCCAUCACCACCACUUCUACAGAAAAUAAGUGAAUGGAGAGAAAAUCAAGAGAAGUUGGUUGGGUAUAUUCCAAGAAA